rnacentral:lncRNA from 1 species
AUACGCACACACAUACACACAUAGUCCACAGAUGAGACCCACAGAUUCUCCAUAUAGAAGACAUUUAGUAGUGCUUAAAAGAUUCAAACUUAGACUCCGAUGUCUUUACAGGGGAUCAUUCCACAGAGUAAAGAAAGGCUAUAAGAGGGGUCAGGUUGAGUAGAUAUAGAGGAAAAUUAUGCAGAUAAAUUAGAUACAUCAAAUAUAUUAAAUAUAUUAGUUUGGGUAUAAAAUACAAAAUAUGUAUAUAUUUAUACAUGCAAAAGGUGGAGACUUUCAGAUGAUGAAUUUUUAAGAAUAAAUAUAUAGAUACUAAUAUUAAUAGGUCAAAGUUCAAAGAUGGAAUUCCAUCUUUGAACUUCUCUGCAUUUAGAUCUAAAAUGUAAGAUCUCUAUCCUGAUGAGAGAGGCUCAUCUCAUCCAAUGUUAAUUGCAUCUAUCUAAAUCUACCAACAUUAUUAUGGAACACUGAGCCCCCAGAAACAGCCAUGAGAAUUAUAACACCUUUUUUCCACCCCUUUAAUUUUCUCUGUCGUUUGUACACUGUGUAAGUUGGACAUAUUAAUAUAGAUAUCUACAUAUUGAUACUUAAAAAUUCAUCAUCUCAAAGUUUCCACCUUCUGCUUUCUCUCAUUUUGCAUGUGUACAUUUCU